GAGUUUGAUUCUGGCUCAGGAUGAACGCUGGCGGCGUGCGUAACACAUGCAAGUUGUACGACGGUGCCAUGAAGUGGGGACACGGAGUGGUAUACGGAGUAGCGGACGGGUGAGUAAAGCAUGAGGAGCUGUCCUGUCGAGGGGGAUAACGUUCGGAAACGGACCCUAAUACCCCAUAGUCCGAGAGGUUAAAGGCAGAGAUGCGCGACGGGAGGUACUCGUGUCCUAUCAGCUAGUUGGUGAGGUAACGGCUCACCAAGGCGACGACGGGUAGCCGGCCUGAGAGGGUGACCGGCCACACUGGAACUGAGAUACGGUCCAGACUCCUACGGGAGGCAGCAGUGGGGAAUAUUGGGCAAUGGGAGGAAUCCUGACCCAGCGACGCCGCGUGAACGAAGACGGCCUUCGGGUUGUAAAGUUCUUUUAUGUGGGAAGAAGGAAGUGACGUACCACAUGAAUAAGCCCCGCA
rnacentral:rRNA from 1 species